UUUGUAAUCUUUAGAGGCCUUGUGCCAGAUUCUGUUCUCCUGUCCUGUGACCCUGGUGACAUUCCGGGAACACUUAGGCCACGUGAGGGGAGGAACCACUGCCUGGAACUUUGUUCCGUGCUGGCACUGUUGGGUUCAUACUGAUCACAGACCACACCAGACCCUUCCACUCCACUGGAAGAGCCAGGGCGGCCGGUGUGCACCUGCUCAGCCCCUCACGCUUUGGAAAUUUUAUUCCGUCGCAGAGUGACCUGUUGCACGGCCUGGAGAUGUCUCUGCAGAGUUGUGUCUAAGGACUGAACGUAUACUCGCGGAGUCUGAAAGAAGGAGAAGAAGUUUCGUCAGAGUGGUUGGGAAAACCCGUCUGAGUAGCUUGCACAGGAGGGGUUGGGAGGUGACAGUCCCCCCAGGACACCCCCCUCCCGCCCCGGAAACUGCCCCUCCUCGCCAGCUUGGGAGGUUGCAGCACCAGGAACCGCGGGCGGUGGGCAGUUGCCUGCUGACCAUGAGCCAGCAUGCGGGCCUGCGUUAUGUUUUUGACAGGCUCCUUAGAGGAAACAGAUGUCAGGAGCCUCUUCUGAUUGCCCUUGACACGGAGAAGAUGUACCCUAAGUUGUCUAGCGUUUGCCAACAGUGGUAGAUCUGAGUUUGUUUUCUUUUUCUCUAAAAAUGUUGUAUUCGGGCAGCGGCCUUGGAUUUGAGGACACGGGGGUGUUUAAAAGCAAGGAGAGUUACCUUGAAUCCACCCAUCGCCCUGCGAUCUGCAGGUGUUCGAGCUGCGUCGACUUGCCAGGAAAACAGCUAGGAGAGAGGCAGCUUCUCAGCAAGAAGUGCCUUUGGAACACUGUGCUGCACCAGUACCGGAGAAACUCUGGUGACAAGAGACACCCACACCCCCCGCCCACGCCUGCCUCGGUGCCCUUGUCCCACCUCUGCCCUGUUACUAUGGAUGAAGGAUGAACGUUCCAUGCUGGCCAAGGUCGGCCCCCCACCUGCACGAGCCCUCCCGUGCCCUCCUGGCUGCUCAGGGAUGCUGCUUCACUUAGUCUCUCCCUCUUUACUGGGUCUCUCCUGACAGUGGGGGACUGCGCUGUCAUUCUUCCACCCAAUAUACCCUCUCUGGACCCCGCUUCCUCCCUGAGAAAAAUGGCCUCAGUGCUCUUCUCCUUAAAGCUAAACUCUGACCACAGCAGCCUUGUACCUGUGGCUCCAAACCCUCUCCUGCAUUCUGCUUUGGGUCCACCCCUGUCAUACUGUCACUCACAAACCAUCUUGUCAAUGUCAUCAGUGUCCUCAUUUUGCUAAAUC
rnacentral:lncRNA from 1 species